rnacentral:rRNA from 1 species
CGGGCUUGAAAGUUAAUGACUGACCUAGAAAUAGGUCAUUCCAGCAAUGGACAUGAAACUAGGUGCUGCAUGGUUGUCGUCAGCUCGUGCCGUGAGGUGUCGGCUUAAGUGCCAUAACGAGCGCAACCCUUUUCCGUAGUUACCAUCAUUUAGUUGGGGACUCUGCGGACACUGCCAUCGCAAGAUGUGAGGAAGGAUGGGAUGACGUCAAAUCAGCACGGCCCUUACGUCCGGGGCGACACACGUGUUACAAUGGGCAGGACAGAGAGGAUCGAGGUGGUGACACUGAGGGAAACUACAAACCUGCUCCCAGUUCGGAUCGGAGUCUGCAACCCGACUCCGUGAAGCUGGAUUCGCUAGUAAUCGCGCAUCAGCCAUGGCGCGGUGAAUACGUUCCCGGGCC